AUGUUGGAUGGGUUUGGAGAACUAAAAGAAGCUUGGGUGGUUGUUGAUGGAAUUCCCCCAAAAUGGUGUGUUUGGAAGGUCUUUGCACAGGUUGCUGGAUGUUUUGGAAUCCUUGUGGAUGUUGAUUGGAAUGGCAUUUUCAAAAGCUUCUAUGAAACUAUCAGAAUCAAGAUUGCUUGCAGAGAUCCCUGCAAAAUCCCAUUUGAGAGACUGGUGGAGAUGAAGAAAAUGCUCUACCUGCUGUUUUUCACUGUGGAAGGAUUUGAACAAGUUGGAGAAGAAUCAGAUGGAAAUGAUGAUGAUGACAAGAUAAUGGAGAUGGAAAGAAAGAAAAACUGGAUGAUGACCUGA
rnacentral:rRNA from 1 species